UACGGAGGGAGCUAGCGUUGUUCGGAAUUACUGGGCGUAAAGCGCGCGUAGGCGGCUUUGUAAGUUAGAGGUGAAAGCCCGGAGCUCAACUUCCGGAACUGCCUUUAAGACUGCAUCGCUUGAAUCCAGGAGAGGUGAGUGGAAUUCCGGAGUGUAGAGGUGAAAUUCGUAGAUAUUCGGAAGAACACCAGUGGCGAAGGCGGCUCACUGGACUGGUAUUGACGCUGAGGUGCGAAAGCGUGGGGAGCAAACAGGG
rnacentral:rRNA from 1 species